UUUCCUUCCCUCUUCCUUCUUAAUCUUUCUCUUUAUUUAUCUUCUUUAAAUGAUUAUACAGACUACAUUGAUGUUGAAAGAUAUCUGUUCUGUUCUGUAGCAUUUUUUUAAAGCAUGGAAACUCGCUUGCCAUAUGGAAUUGGGAGAAGAUAGAAUGCUUUGCAGAAAGCCUGCCCGCCUUCACCUUUGGAGGCGAACUGAAAUAUUGGAAUACAGGAGGAAAGUUCCCCACCGACGGGAAAUGCACUCCUGAGUGGUCUCCAGCUUUUCGGCCAUGAGUUCAAGUCUUUGUCAGUUUCUCCUGUGUGGGCGGGCAGGCAAACGGUUACUUGGGAGGACAGGACACAGGUGAACCAAGAAUGGGUGUGAGGAAAGAGGACCCUGAUCUUUGUCUCCGUGCUUAGCCACUGUGGUCUCUGCAAACACAGCGUGUCCACCGAGGGGGCGGGGUUUGUUUCCCCGACAGCGCGCUGGGCCCUGAGCCUGAGAGCGAAGAUCGGGAGGGUUUUCUGCAGUGCAGCAAAUGAAACAGCUCAUUAGCUAUGAGAAGCCAAUAAUCUUUUGUGAGUCACCAGUAGCUACUAUUCCUCGGGGAAAUUUAUUCUAGGCAAGGCAGGAAUAGGAAGACGGUAGGAAGAAAGGGGGCGUGUGGAACACGGAAGGGGCGAGGGAGAACGCGCUUCCCAUCCUCGCGGAAGGCGCGGCCCUUGCUCUGACGCACUGGUUCUUCCUCGCGCGCAGGCUAUUUUGAGCACCCCGCAUUCUCGCCGGUGAGAAGGAUGCUUUGGCUAUUAUCCAGGAUUCAUUAAGGCUGUAUGGCCCUUGCACUAUUUUACUUGUGCAUAUACGACUACGGAGACCACAACCGUUAACAUUUUUUUAAGGCACAGUCACGUUCUGUUGUAACCCUGUGACGUACACAAGACAGGAAUUUACAGCCCGUUCCACAGACGGGAUUGUAGAUGGGAUUGCAGAUGGGAUGGGAUUGGGGCACACAUGUUAGGCUUAUACUGCAGGGGCCAUAGGUUAAAACGGGGCCACAGCCCCAUGUAAAAGAGACUUACCAAUGUCGCCCCCAAAUGGGACUGAUCCAGGUCAAAAAGCAGUUUUAACUCCUAGUCCCUGGCUCUUUCUACCAAGGAGAUUUGAACUAGAAUAAUACUAAUAAUAGCUAACAUCUAUGUAGCAUUGUGUUAGGUAUACUUUUCCUAUAUUAACUCGUUUCAUCUCCAAAGCAAUGCUGAGAUGGCUUCUGUUAGCUUGCAUGCGAUGACAUCAGUAACAACCAUCUUGAAAUCCUCAAGGAGGCUGUGACUCCGCACGACGGCAGAGGAGAGAGUGUUGUGUGUGAGCCAGAGGAAGACAAUUCCCAGGCCAGAAAUGAGCACAAACACCGCCACAGAGUAAUGGGCCCCCACAGCGCAUCCCUGAGCAUACUGUGUGGCACCAGGCUCCACCUGCCUCUUCCCUCUGUAGGCUUUGCCUGCUCUGGUCGGUUCUCCACGCAGCCAGAGGAAUCGUUGUUCGGGGCUGUAAUUGCUACCAUAGCCCUUUCUCUCCUGAGAACUAGGCAGCGGUUCCCAGUUGUCUCUUGAACUGACUUGAAUCAUGUUGAUCACAGACUCCGACCCCCCUGUCUCCAACACCCCCUCUCGUCCCCCACCACUCCCUGGAUUUCCCCUCCGCUCCAGUCAAGCAGGCCGCUCCUGCCUCUGUACAUUGUUUCCUGUCCCUCCCUCCCCAGGACAGGGCGGACCCCUGCAUAAGCAUUUGACAGAUUUUUCUAAAGUGUGAGUGAGUGUGUGUGUAUGUUGUGAUUUUAAAGCGAUGAAAUAUGGUGAAGCUCGGUGGGGAGAAUUGUCUGCUCGCAAACCAAUGAUUUAGAAUCAGAUAAGCACUUCCUGACACAGAGUGGGUUUCGUGGGCCUACCCGGCAUUUAAGAUGUUUGAAUACAGCGGUGCAGACUUUUUGCCGCCACACUCCCCGAAUUCGUACGUUGAAGCCCUGACCCCAACGUGACAGUAUCUGGA